rnacentral:rRNA from 1 species
GGACUACCAGGGUAUCUAAUCCUGUUUGCUCCCCACGCUUUCGCGUCUCAGCGUCAGUCACUGUCCAGGUAGCCGCCUUCGCCACCGGUGUUCCUCUCGAUAUCUACGAAUUUCACCUCUACACCGAGAAUUCCGCCACCCUCUCCAGGACUCGAGCUUGGAAGUUUCGAAUGCACUUCCUGGGUUAAGCCCAGGGCUUUCACAUCCGACUUUCCAAGCAGCCUACACGCGCUUUACGCCCAGUAAUUCCGAACAACGUUUGCACCCUCUGUCUUACCGCGGCUGCUGGCAC